rnacentral:rRNA from 1 species
ACGGGAGGCAGCAGUGGGGAAUUUUGCACAAUGGGGGAAACCCUGAUGCAGCGACGCCGCGUGAUUUAGAAGGCCUUCGGGUUGUAAGAAUCUUUUGUACAGGAAGAAAAUGACAGUACUGUACGAAUAAGGUCCGGCUAAUUACGUGCCAGCAGCCGCGGUAAUACGUAAGGACCGAGCGUUGUCCGGAAUCAUUGGGCGUAAAGGGUACGUAGGCGGUUUAUUAAGUUAGAAGUGAAAGGCUAUAGCUCAACUAUAGUAAGCUUUUAAAACUGAUAGACUUGAGAGAUUGAGGGGAAAGUGGAAUUCCUAGUGUAGCGGUGAAAUGCGCAGAUAUUAGGAGGAAUACCAGUGGCGAAGGCGACUUUCUGGCAAUCAUCUGACGCUGAGGUACGAAAGCGUGGGUAGCAAACAGGAUUAGAUACCCUGGUA